rnacentral:misc_RNA from 1 species
GAACCGUAGGUGAACCUGCGGUUGGAUCAUUCAUAAUAAAGUGUUUUAUGGCACUUUUUAAAAAUCCAUAUCCACCUUGUGUGCAAUGUUAGAUCUCGUCAAUCUUGGCGAGAUUUUUAUACAUCAACUCAUUCUUUAACUAAUUUGUCUGAAAAAUAUUAUGAAUACUUAAUUCAAAAUACAACUUUCAACAACGGAUCUCUUGGCUCUC